rnacentral:rRNA from 1 species
AAACUUUCAACAACGGAUCUCUUGGUUCUGGCAUCGAUGAAGAACGCAGCGAAAUGCGGUAAGUAAUGUGAAUUGCAGAAUUCAGUGAAUCAUCGAAUCUUUGAACGCACAUUGCGCCCCUUGGUAUUCCGGGGGGCAUGCCUGUUCGAGCGUCAUUU